GUCGGCUGAUCUGUUACCUUGAUCUGACGGGAUACCGACCGGAUACGGUGGAGGAUUCAUCUCGUCACUUCCGACGUUUCUUGAGCAAAAUACCUGUUAUAUCCCGCCGACAAACGUGGACCGAGAUCCAGCACCGUGGACGUUUGCCCCGAGGGAAUGACAGUGUGGACGGUAUUCGUAACUCAAUAUAGGUAUUCAGGUACUUGAGAUAGUGUUAAAUUUACCGUAAGAUAUUAUUUGUUCCUCCCAAGGGCCCAUCUUACUGACCACCUGCAUCUCUUCGGAUCUCUUUUGAAUGUAUGAUCGGACUGUGAACAUCAUCAUUGCCUACAUGAUGAAUGUGUUUUUGUACUUCCUGCAAUACCGACUGUGCCGACUAGAAUUACUAAUCGCUAGAAAGCAAUAAUGUUAUUGACCUUAAUAUUUUACGACAGAGUAGCUGGGAUUUUGCAGUCGCUCGCGUCACGCUGACAUAUUUACGCAUCGUAACUGUUCAUUAUUCUAAAAAAACAAUAAUGAUGUCUCAAGUAUUAUUUCAAAAGAUGAUUGAUUCGAUAUUAGAUAUUAUGGCAUUUCUAACGUUUAAUGUAAAAUAAUGUAUAAAAUAUAAAUUAAUAUUCCAUA